rnacentral:rRNA from 1 species
UACGGGGGGGGCAAGCGUUGUUCGGAAUUACUGGGCGUAAAGGGCUCGUAGGCGGCCAACUAAGUCAUACGUGAAAUCCCUCGGCUUAACCGGGGAACUGCGUCUGAUACUGGAUGGCUUGAGUUCGGGAGAGGGAUGCGGAAUUCCAGGUGUAGCGGUGAAAUGCGUAGAUAUCUGGAGGAACACCGGUGGCGAAGGCGGCAUCCUGGACCGAUACUGACGCUGAGGAGCGAAAGCCAGGGAAGCAAACGGG